GAUGAACGCUAGCUACAGGCUUAACACAUGCAAGUCGAGGGGUAGCAGGGUAGCAAUACCGCUGACGACCGGCGCACGGGUGAGUAACACGUAUCCAACCUUCCCAUAACUCGGGGAUAGCCUUUCGAAAGAAAGAUUAAUACCGGAUGGUACUUUUUCAAGGCAUCUUGAGAAAGUUAAAGAUUUAUACGUUAUGGAUGGGGAUGCGUUCCAUUAGAUAGUUGGUGAGGUAACGGCUCACCAAGUCUUCGAUGGAUAGGGGUUCUGAGAGGAAGGUCCCCCACAUUGAUACUGAGACACGGACCAAACUCCUACGGGAGGCAGCAGUGAGGAAUAUUGGUCAAUGGGCGAGAGCCUGAACCAGCCAAGUAGCGUGAAGGAUGAAGGUCCUAUGGAUUGUAAACUUCUUUUAUAGUAGAAUAAAGUGAUCCACGUGUGGAUUUUGUAUGUAUACUAUGAAUAAGCACCGGCUAACUCCGUGCCAGCAGCCGCUGUAA
rnacentral:rRNA from 1 species